rnacentral:rRNA from 1 species
UACGGGGGGGGGGUAAGCGUUGUUCGGAAUUACUGGGCGUAAAGGGCUCGUAGGCGGCCAACUAAGUCGGACGUGAAAUCCCUCAGCUUAACUGGGGAACUGCGUCCGAUACUGGAUGGCUUGGAUUCGGGAGAGGGAUGCGGAAUUCCAGGUGUAGCGGUGAAAUGCGUAGAUAUCUGGAGGAACACCGGUGGCGAAGGCGGCAUCCUGGACCGGCAUUGACGCUGAGGCGCGGAAAGCC